rnacentral:lncRNA from 1 species
AUAAUAAAAAAAAAUAUCUAUUAAACUUUAACGUAGAAAGAUAAGCAGAAAUUAAUAUAGCACAAUAUUAUAAAAACCAUAUCCCAGUCUUCUUUGUUUAGCUUAUUAUACGACAUAAUUUAACUUAAACUGUUGACCAUACUUUAACACAAGGUUACCGCCAAGCCAAAUCCUACGUGAUUUGAAGCAGUUCCUUUUUCAACUCUACUUGUGCUUAAGCAACAUCCGUCGGAGCUCCACCGGGUCAAUUUCAGGGGUGUGGUUCAUGGGCCUGUAGUCACCGGUUACUGGGUCUGGGGCCCAAUCGGAAUAGGCUUUUGCACCAUCUCUUGUCACCGGCUUUUCUUCUGCACCUCCCACGAUUCCACUCCUACGCCCAAUAUUAUUACCCAAUCCAACUCUUGCCGAAACAUCAGACGCAACUGCAUAACCUCGCC